CACCUACGGGUGGCAGCAGUUGGGAAUCUUGCACAAUGGGGGAAACCCUGAUGCAGCGACGCCGCGUGGAGGAAGAAGGGUCUAGGCUCGUAAACUCCUUUUUCAGGGAAAGACUUAGGACGGUACCCUGAGAAUAAGCUCCGGCUAACUACGUGCCAGCAGCCGCGGUAAGACGUAGGGAGCGAGCGUUGUCCGGAUUUACUGGGCGUAAAGAGCACGUAGGCGGUCUGUUAAGUGAGAAGUGAAAUCUCCAGCGCUCAACGCGGAAACGGCUUUUCAUACUGGCAGACUUGAGGGAUGCAGAGGCAAGUAGAAUUCCUGGUGUACCGGUGACAUGGGUUGAUAUCAGGAGGAAUACCAAUGGCGAAGGCAGCUUGCUGGGCAUCAUCUGACGCUGAGGUGCGAAAGCGUGGGUAGCAAACAGGAUUAGAUACCCUGGUAGUCCACGCCCUAAACGAUGGAUACUAGGCGUAUGGGGUAUCGACCCCCCAUGUGCCGUAGCUAACGCAUUA
rnacentral:rRNA from 1 species